UUCAGGAGCCUUAACACUGCCAUGGUGACCCUUCUGCCCAAACGGGAUGUAGCUGCUGCCGUGGCCGACUACCGCCCUAUAAGCCUCAUCCACUCCAUUGCAAAGGUGCUGGCAAAGGUGCUAUCUAUCAGACUCUCUAAAUUAAUACAACAAAUUAUAUCCCCAACACAAUCUGCCUUCCUGAAGAGCAAAAGCAUCCAUGACAACUUCUUAUAUGUCCAAAAUGGCAUACGCGUGCUCCACAAAAAGUAGAUACCGGCUGUUCUGCUCAAGCUUGAUAUCACCAGGGCAUUUGACACCAUCUCCUAGGAAUACCUGCUUGAGCUUCUUCAGAAGCUUGGUUUCAGCGCCAGAUGGAGGGACUGGAUAACCAUGCUCCUUGCCUCUUCCAGCUCAUCAUUUCUAUUAAACGACAUUUCGGGCCGGAGCAUCAAUUACCGGAAGGGCCUCCGACAGGGCGACCCUCUGUCACCCCUCCUCUUUAUCCUGGCCAUUGACCCCCUCCACCGUCUCCUUCAGCUCGCUGCAGAACAAGGUCUAAUCUAG
rnacentral:rRNA from 1 species